GCAUCAAUGGGGUAGUGGUAACCUGGGUCGUUGCCAUUUGUCGAGAGACUCAUGCGAGCUCGACCCGCCGGGGGUUCGAUUCCCUCUUGAUGCA